GCCCUGGUGGUGGAAUUGGUAGACACGCAGGACUUAAAAUCCUGUGGACAGCAAUGUCCGUAACGGUUCAAGUCCGUUCCGGGGCA
rnacentral:tRNA from 1 species